CUUCGGCCCGAGUUGUAAUUUGCAGAGGAUGUUUAUGGUGCGGUACCUUCCGAGUUCCCUGGAACGGGACGCCACAGAGGGUGAGAGCCCCGUCUGGUUGGAUACCAAACCUGUGUUAAACUCCUUCAACGAGUCGAGUAGUUUGGGAAUGCUGCUCUAAAUGGGAGGUAAAUCUCUUCUAAAGCUAAAUAUUGGCCAGAGACCGAUAGCGCACAAGUAGAGUGAUCGAAAGAUGAAAAGCACCUUGAAAAGGGGGUUAAACAGUACGUGAAAUUGUUGAAAGGGAAGCGUUUAUGACCAGACUUGUGCCGUGUGGCUCAUC
rnacentral:rRNA from 1 species